GGGAGGGGCUUGGCCGGGGCGUCCCGCCGAGGGGGCCAGAAGCGCAGGGAGAGGCCGCUGAGGGGCAGCCAGCCCAGCCCCCGUUUGCGUUCCGGAGUGGCUGUUCCUGUCCAUGAAGCCUGAUCCCUAUCGACUGCGCUGGACCUGUGUGACUCUCUGCCCGUGGCCAUGAAGUGGCUGGUGAAGCUGUACCUCCUGGGCCUGCUGCUCUCCCUGCUCUCUGCCCUCUUCGGACUGGUGGGCUUCCUUGGGGAGCUGGUGCCCCUCCCAGACCUGGAGCCCAGCCUCUGCGGCCGGUGGACGGGGUCAGCGGCUCCCCCCGAGGCCCUGGCAGGAGAGAUGAAGCCGAGCCCCCCCAAAGCCCUCGGCUCCUAUUCUUGAGUGCCUGGGCAGAUCUUGCCACUGGGUGUGUAUGGGGGGAACUGGUGGGGGUGUCUUGAAAUGGGGGGGGGGCUGGCUCUGGAACCUGGAGUCAGCUGCGGCAGGAGACGCCCAGGGUGGCCUCGUUUGGUGGGAGCCACGAGUGACUGACGGGUCACAUCUGGAAUUCUGUGCUGAAACCUCUCGGCUGUGCCCGCCUCGCAUGGAGGUCUCUGAUGUGCUGCAUGGCCACAAAGAAAGCAGCCGGGCCAGACCCAGCGGGCCAGAUGCAGGGGGGCAAAGGAAGGGUGAUCUCUGCCCUCGACUGAACCUGGCAGUGUGGGGGGGGGGGAUCACACAAGAAUCUUCCCCCCUCCAAAAUAGGAAAAUUCCGCCUUGCAGCCAACUGGGCGGGGGGGUCUCCCACCAGAGCCACAGAAGAUCAGCACAAGUGGGUCUGUGGAGCUGCCAGGCCUUGUGGCGGUGGGUUCUGGGGGCCUUUCCCUGCCGCCGGGGGUCUGCUUGAGUGACAGAAGAAAACGAGUCCACCUGCUCCGAAGAGGCGGGGCUGCAGGGCUCGGCCAAAUGGCGCCACUUGGCUGUUGGUUUAGAGGGGGGCGUGAGGGGCUGGGGCCAGAUCUCAUCCCCCCCCCCCCCCCGGUCUCUAGAUUGCUGCCCUGCGGCCACUUUUGCUAACGGUUCCUAUGUCUAAAUACAUACUUAUUUUUUUUCUA